GACAUUUAUUGGAUGUAAUAACUGCUUCCUCUUGCCAUAUGCAAAAAUCUGAACACAAGUGAGGCUUAAGGACCAGAACACACUUUUUAAUCUGUGUUUUGAGAGAUGAUUCAGUGUAACUGCAUUGCAACAAAGGGGAUAAACCUUGAGGAAAAUCUUCUGAACACCUGCAGGAAGCUUAAGGUCAUAUAGUCACUUGGAGACUACAUGUUCCUCCCACCUGGCUCCCUCCAUACACAAAGCUAAACUGCCAGCAAAGCUAAACUUUCUACCUGCACCACUGGAUAAGGCAAUUGAAAUUGAGCCCUUCUUUCAUAUGGGCUGGAAACCUGCUUGCUGUGCUCAUGGCAGUCAUCUCCCAGUGCCUUCCAGCAGCCUCCAGCCACAGAAGGGCAGGUGGACUUGGACAGUGAAGACGCGUGGGGCAGCAUCACAGAGCCUGUGCAACGUAUGUUGGGGCAUCCGCAGUGCACAGAGAUUGGUUUCACAUCCCUGUUCUACUGAUGUAUUUGUUUUUGCUUCUGAAGGAAAAACUAGUGACUCCCAUGCCUUGCUAAUGGAUACUUUGUCCUGGAAUACAAUAUUCUGUUUUCAUGCUUUUUCGCAUCAUGCUGCCAUUCUCUGGAUGGAAACAGAGCAAGUGGCUCUCUUUACCACAAACAAAUCAGCUUUUGAAACAGUUUUAAAAAGAGAUCACUAUUAAAACACAAUUAAGUAAGAACUGGUCUGUUCUUCUUUAAAGCCUUUGCUAAUACAACCAAAGGAGAUCUGGACACAGCUCUGGGAAUCUGUUUAGCAGAAAUAUUUUGAAGGCUAUUGAAAAAGAAUAGCCCAAAAUGUCAAGUGUUUGUGUUUUGUUUUUUAUCCGAAAGUCUCUGCUUAUCGUGAAAACACUUGGAAAUAAAAUCUGCAGUUCUCCCACUCA